rnacentral:lncRNA from 1 species
UUUUUUCUGUUACUGCAGUAUCUUACACUGAUUGAUUUUCAUAUGUUGAACUAUCCUUGCAUUCCAGGAAUAAAUCCCACAUCAUCAUGUGUAUAAUCCUUUUAAUAUGCUGUUGAAUUUGGUUUACUAGUAUUUUGUUGAGAAUUUUAAUAUUAAUAUUUAUAAGGACUAUAGAUCUGUAAUUUUCUUGUAUAUCUUCGGCUUUGAUAUCAGGCUAAUGCUGGGCUUGUAGAAAUAUUUAAGAAAUAUUCCUUCCUUUUCAAAUUUUAAGAAGAAUUUGAGAAGGGUUGGUGUUAAUUCUGAAAUGUUUGGUAGAUUCACCAACAAAGCUAUCUUGUCCUCUUGUCCUGCUCUCUUCUUCAUUGGGAGGUUCCGAGUCAUUCUUUUUUUUUUUUUGCUUUUCAGGGCCACACCCAUGGCAUAUGGAGCGGCCCAAAGAAAUAGCAAAAAAUUAAAAAAAUAAAUAAAUAAAAUAAAUCAAUGCCUUAAAAAAAAAAAAAAGAAAACAUUUCCCUAUAUUUGAACCCAGGAGAUGUCUCUGCUAUGACUCUUAUUCUGCCCUAGGAGCCAAACAGAGCAAGAAGAAACACUUUCCACAGAUCUACUCUUCAAAUAUUUGGGGGUUAGGACUCAUAUCUUUUGGAGACUCUGCCUGUUUCACCAUUUUCAAUUUCUCCCCCUUCCCUGAACUAAUGAACCAGCCAAACCCAAACUCAUCAUAGCCUCCAGGGUCCCACAGAACUGGGGCCCUGCCCACCCUGCCAACCUCAGUUCACACGCUUCUCUUUUGGGCUCACCUUGCUUCAGCUACACAGCCUCUUUUCUGUUGGGCAACACUGCCAAGCUCUUCCCUGCCUUCUCUUCAGCUCCGUGACUAGAGGGCUUAUGGAUGCUCGGGCAGAUCCCUGACCCUCACCGAGGUCUCCCUGGUAGAUAAAGUCCCUGACUACUCAUAGAAUCUCCCAGAUCCCCCAGGUGGCAUGGAUGGCAGCAGGGCAGCUGGAGUGGGGACCCAGACUUGGCUGGCCCAUGGCAUCUGAAUUGAGGGAAAAACGGAAAGAGGUCAAAAAGGGAGAGAACCAGAGGUGACUUUUCCACCUCGCCCUGUCUGGAAGCAUCUCACCCACCCCUGGUCCACUCCAGGGUCCCACAUGUGAGACAGUGCUGGUGUCUCCCUAUGGUGUGCCCUCUCUCCACUGAGUGGUCCCCGCCCCCAGGCUUGCCUUUGUCCCUUUGUCCAGGGCCCAUGCUCCUCCUCUUUUGGUUUCUCAGCGUCCUCAUGCUUCCAUCCCAAGCUGAGCUGGCCCAGGAGACAGCCAUUGCAUGAGAGCCUUGGGGACAGUGUGGCAGGUGUGACUCUGGGACCCUGGCUCUUGCCUCAGCUAAAGCUUGAGGGAGCUUCCCACUUGAUGGGAAGGUAGGAGGCUCAAGCAUGGGGGUGUGGAGGUGGGGCGGUCAGCCAGAGGCUAAGAUAUGGCUGCUUAUCCUGGGGAUCCACCCACCAGCCAUGUGUGCCACCCAGGCAAGUCCUCUCUGGCCCUAUCACGCCCAUGUGUGAAAGGGGAUCCAGCUGAGUCGUCUCUGGGACCCCCUCAGCUCUGACAUCCUGAGUCUCCGGGCCCAGGAGCUGGGACAUUGAGUGGUCCCUGGCUGAGCCCUCCCCGCCUCAGUGCUCCCAGAGCCCCUCCCCCCCAGCAGUUCCCUUCCACACUGCCCCGCCCCCGCGUCCCAUCCAUCCUCCUCUCCGCUGUAGCUGCUGCUUAACCUCCACAGGGGGCCGAGGAGCC